CACGAAGAUAAAAAAAAGGCCAAAUGAAAGUGAAAGUGACUAGUAACUAGUUUUAAAGGUGGACCUGUAGUAACCUGGAUGAAGCCACCUGUGUGAAUACUGUAAACAAAACAGUCAUCGACGCAACAGCAUUUAUAGAAAACAAGUGGGGUCAACACUUUGUGAAACUCAUAUUUACGAGCAGCACAUGAAGGCGGCAUCGGCCAAACAUCUUUUUUUCCACGCCUUUCCUAAUGUUGACGAGGCACGAGAGGAUCCAAAAGGUCCAAAAAUAGAUGAAAUGUAGCUGCAGUUAUGAGUUUAUACCGAGCAGUGAGGUGAUUGUUUGUUUAACCCUCAGAUUGAGUUCAGGGAACAUCUUUCUUCUGUCAUAAAUAAAUUAAAUCUGACUGACAUAUUUCUCCACAAUAUUUGAACACAUAAGAGAUAACAUAUGACACACCACACUUAUAUUCAUCUGAUUACAGUCUGGUUUAAGGUUGAAUCCAUGUUUCUGAUAUAAAUGAUUAUAAGUUAUAAAAUAAGUAUUUUUGAUUGUUCUCUCUGAAUAAAGUCAGUCAGUUUUUACCAUAAACAUGUUGCUUAUGGCAGCCAGUAAAAUACUUAAAAACAAUAUCUUCUGGCACUCAUUGUGUUUCACUCUGGCCUUAACUACAGUCAAAAUAAUACUGAUAUUGUCAUUAUUCUGCUAAAACAAAGCGUUAUUAUUUGAGAUAACUGAGCCAUAAAUAAAGAGUAGAACUUGUAAUAAUAAUAAUAAUAAUAAUAAUAAUAAUAAUAAUAAUAAGAAGAAGAAGAAGAAGAAGAAGAAGAAGUUAACACAAUAGGAGGGUUAAAGACGCUUUUGUUUCAGGCAGGAGACCAUUAUUCUUAAAUUAUUUUGGUUUUAUGUAUUGUGUUUAUUUGAAUAACUGACAAUGUGUGUAAACAAUUUUUAAUUUGAAUUAAUUUGUCCUGUAAAAAACAUUAAGACUGGAAUUAUGAAAACACUGUAUUAUGUCUGUUAGGAUUAAGGAAGUGUGUUAUGUAACUCAUUUCUAAAUAAAUAAAUAAAUAAAUAAA